rnacentral:rRNA from 1 species
AUUGAACGCUGGCGGAAUGCUUUACACAUGCAAGUCGAACGGCAGCACGGACUUCGGUCUGGUGGCGAGUGGCGAACGGGUGAGUAAUGUAUCGGAACGUGCCCAGUCGUGGGGGAUAACGUAGUGAAAAUUACGCCAAUACCGCAUACGAUCUAUGGAUGAAAGCGGGGGAUCGCAAGACCUCGCGCGAUUGGAGCGGCCGAUAUCAGAUUAGGUAGUUGGUGGGGUAAAGGCCCACCAAGCCAACGAUCUGUAGCUGGUCUGAGAGGACGACCAGCCACACUGGAACUGAGACACGGUCCAGACUCCUACGGGAGGCAGCAGUGGGGAAUUUUGGACAAUGGGCGAAAGCCUGAUCCAGCCAUUCCGCGUGCAGGAUGAAGGCCCUCGGGUUGUAAACUGCUUUUGUACAGAACGAAAAGGUUUCUACUAAUACUAGGAGCUCAUAACGGUACUGUAAGAAUAAGCACCGGCUAACUACGUGCCAGCCGCCGCGGUAA